AUUGAACGCUGGCGGAAUGCUUUACACAUGCAAGUCGAACGGCAGCACGGGUGCUUGCACCUGGUGGCGAGUGGCGAACGGGUGAGUAACAUAUCGGAACGUAUCCAAUAAUGGGGGAUAACUAAUCGAAAGGUUGGCUAAUACCGCAUACGCCCUACGGGGGAAAGCUAGGGACCUUCGGGCCUGGCGUUAAUGGAGCGGCCGAGAUCUGAUUAGCGAGUUGGUGGGGUAAUGGCCUACCAAGGCGACGAUCAGUAGCUGGUCUGAGAGGACGACCAGCCACACUGGAACUGAGACACGGUCCAGACUCCUACGGGAGGCAGCAGUGGGGAAUUUUGGACAAUGGGCGCAAGCCUGAUCCAGCCAUUCCGCGUGAGUGAAGAAGGCCUUCGGGUUGUAAAGCUCUUUCGCAAGGGAAGAAAACUUAUCCUCUAACAUAGGAUGAGGUUGACGGUACCUUGAUAAGAAGCACCGGCUAACUACGUGCCAGCCGCCGCGGUAACAC
rnacentral:rRNA from 1 species